rnacentral:rRNA from 1 species
UACGGAGGGUGCGAGCGUUGUCCGGAAUCACUGGGCGUAAAGGGCGCGUAGGCGGCCGAGCAAGGUCGCGGUGAAAGCCCGGGGCUCAACCCCGGGUCGGCCGUGGCAACUACUUGGCUGGAGCACUGUAGGGGCGGGUGGAAUUCCGGGUGUAGCGGUGGAAUGCGUAGAGAUCCGGAAGAACACCGGUGGCGAAGGCGGCCCGCUGGGCAGGAAGAAGGAGCAAUCCUUCGGCUGACGCUGAUGCGCGACAGCGUGGGGAGCAAACAGG